UCCUGAUCAAAUAUAAAAAUUCAUAUAUGGAGAAAAUUACUGAUAAUCGAUCCUAAUAACACAAAUCGAGGAUCUCUCUUAGAAUUAACCAAAAUUAGGACUUGUCUAUGUAUCAGGAUCCUUCAUUGGUCCAUAAGACUUCUAGAGAGAGAAAAUCCAUGAAGAGAGAGAAAAUUCUAGAGAGAGAAAGUAGAGAGAGAAAGUGGAGAGAGAAAUCUUCGUAUCCUUCCGAUGAGGCACUCAUAAUCGAGAUCAUCAGAGGACCUUUCAGAGUGACUCAAUAUGAAUCAAGUGUUACAAAUUUCGAAUAGGAUCAAACUGGGAUCAGAUCUACUGCACGAAUUUCGGAGCAAUCUCAAAUCAUCUUAUUUUCAUCUUCAAAUUUAUUCUAGGGUUCAUGAUGCAAUCAGAGAAGAAGAAAAGAUCCUAGAGAGACAAAAUCCGUAAAGAGAGAGAAAAUAUAGAGAGAGAAGGUAGAGAGAGGAGAGAGAGAAAAUUUUUCUCUCUUCUUCUUCUUUUUAUUU
rnacentral:lncRNA from 1 species